CCCUUAGAUGUUCUGGGCCGCACGCGCGCUACACUGACGAAUGCAACGAGCUUAUAACCUUGGCCGAAAGGUCUGGGUAAUCUCCAAAUUUCGUCGUGAUGGGGAUAGAUUAUUGCAAUUAUUAAUCUUCAACGAGGAAUGCCUAGUAAGCGCAAGUCAUCAGCUUGCGUUGAUUACGUCCCUGCCCUUUGUACACACCGCCCGUCGCUCCUACCGAUUGAAUGGUCCGGUUAAGCGUUCGGACCGUGGCCUUUGGACGGUUCGCCGUCUGUUGGCUGCGGGAAGUUCGUUAAACCUUAUCAUUUAGAGGAAGGAGAAGUCGUAACA
rnacentral:rRNA from 1 species